GAUUUGAAAUGUGAAGAAGAAACAUCUCACCACGUGGGGAGACUCAGGCAGUGGGCGGGGCUUUGAUCAUCAGAGGAGCAGGUGGCAAACAGGCUGCCUCACCGGCGUCCUGGGAAAGGGCAAAGAGGAGGAAAGGAGCGGGAAGGCGGCGAAAGCCGAGGGGAUGAGGGGUCCGCAAACAUGGCUGGGAGAGAAAGAGGAGAUGGUGGAAGAGUGGAGAACAGUAUGGAGUUAAAGCUUUAUCAGAGGCGUCCUCUUUGCCUCCACAUCCCUCCCACGUCACCUCGCCGAGACCCAUCUGUGUCUAGAAGAAAGUAUGAUGAAACCACCAAACAAUGAGCGAACGUAAAGAACACAAAUGUGGCGACGCGUUUCUUGAAGGGCGGGCAUUUUGGAAGGAGCGAAUGGGAGACGGGAAGAGCGGAGGGAGGCGUGUGUUCAAAAAUUCACAAAGGUUUUGUAAUAAAUGCGUCCAUGACAAUAAAAACAAAAACAUUAAAGGGAGAAAAGACAUGUUUCUGUGUUAAACAAUUAGUGCUGCAGCAUUAGAGGCGAUCAGGAGGAGACAAAAGCGCUGCAGCGGCAGGGGGUUUACCCCAGACACAAAGACACAAAGACAGAUGCUCUGCAGCCCAGCCAAGCUGCAGCACCACUCCGGUUCGGCGGUUUGGAAGCUCGGAGGGAUCUUUGGGUUCGUUCUGGGGAGACUGUGAGCUGCAGUUUGUCUACGUCAUCGGCUCGUCUGGAUAAUUAAAUUCAUUUGUGACCACGAGCUACCAGACAUCCACGACAACAACGCAGCAUUUAAAACUUCCGCAAAAGUUACCGCCCCCUCCUAUUUGGUGACGAGAAAAGGUGCUUUUGCCUGCGUAAAUAUUUAGGACUUUCCAAACCUGCGUGGCCUCCUUUGGUAAAGCAGCUGCAUUUUUUAGCCAGAAUUAUCGAAACGAUCUUUUUCUGAAACCAGCAGUCAGAUUCAAGUCUGUCUUCUGCUAGAAGGACCUUGAACCGAUUUUUCCUGUGUUUGUGUCUUCUUCAGCAUUUGCUGGUAAUUAAUGUUCAUAAUUAACGGCAACAGGCAAGCAGCCCCACACCAUCACACUACCACCACCAUGUUUGAGUGUUAAUUCAAUAAAGUUCAUUGUGACUACAAAGUUAACUAAGUUCUUAAGUUAUUUUUUCUCAGACACGGUUUGUGUUUGUCAACAUACCUUACACGUUUCGGUGGAAUCACUUCCACCUUCGUCAGAGUCGUCAUCAGGUGGUGGUGAUGUGACGUCUUUAAAAACAGAUGAUUCUGACGGGGCGGAGUCACCUGUCAGACUUUGACAAGUGACUCCGCCCCUUGAUGUCAGUUUUAUUGCUGGAGGAUGUUGCUCCAGGUGUGGGAGAGAAGUAAGGCCACCUCAUCCCGGUUCA
rnacentral:lncRNA from 1 species